CGGUCAUAUGUUGAAACAACGGUUCCCAUAUGAUCACCAAAGUUAAGCAACGUCGAGAAUAGUCAGUACCAAGAUGGGUGGCUGCUUAGGAAUAUCAAGUACUGUA